rnacentral:rRNA from 1 species
AGUGAACGCUGGCGGCGUGCCUAACACAUGCAAGUCGAACGGAGUGGCGCACGGGUGAGUAAUAUAUAGCUAACUUUCCCAUUACUAAGGGACAACCGUUGGCAACGACUGCUACUACCUUAUAGUAAUGGAUAGGGCUAUAUCGUAUUAGCUAGUUGGUAAGUUAAUGGUUUACCAAGGCUAUGACGAGUAACUGGUCUGAGAGGAUGAUGAGUAACACUGGAACGGAGACACCGUUCAGAAUCCUACGGGAGGCAGCAGUAGGGAAUAUUGCUCAAUGGGGGAAACGCUGAAGGAGCAACGCCGCGUGGAGGAUGACACUUUUCGGAGCGUAAACUCCUUUUCUUAGGAAAGCGGUACCCAAGGAAUAAGCACCGGCUAACUCCGUGCCAGCAGCCGCGGUAAUAC